UUUAUUUCUCACAAAGGCUACCUGUAUUUAUUAAGCAGUUUCAAUUUUAUCGUACAUCAAGUCUUUUGUUAUGUUAAUUUCAAUUACAUUAAAUUUCUGGUCGAGUGAUCAUUUACCACGUGCGAUUUGUUAAAGGAUGUGUAGUUCAUUCAUAAAAAAAAUGGAUUAAUGAUUUUGAUUCCCAAUAAGGAUUAAUUUCAAAGAUAUGGUGAGUAAAUAUUUGUUUAUAAUAUGAACCUGUUGAUACAACAUGUCUUGUUACAGUUAGAUGAUAUACAUGAAUAUAUACACAACAGAAAUUACAUGUAGGGAGUUGAGAGCAGUGUACACAUUAUUAUUCAAUCAGUAUCAAAGAGGUCAUUGCACUGACCUGACCAUGCAAAAUAUAUAUUUAUAUACAAAAAAUGUCACACAUAGUAGAAAAGGCUUCGAUUUUCGUAUUCGGUUUAAAAUAUUUGAGCAAAAAUUGCAUUUCAUGUUUUAUCAUAUUUAAAAUCACCGAUUUACUUAUCCCUUUCUUUUGAUAUUUUGCGAUAUUUCUAGUUUUCCAGAUAACCCAUUUCGUGAUUAAAAGCACCGUAUCUAAAAUUUGGGUAUAAGAUGCAUCUGCAUUAAUGACCCCAAAAAUUA
rnacentral:lncRNA from 1 species